rnacentral:rRNA from 1 species
AUGAAGAGUUUGAUCCUGGCUCAGGAUGAACGCUAGCGGCAGGCCUAAUACAUGCAAGUCGAGGGGCAGCACGGUUUUCGGACUGGUGGCGACCGGCGCACGGGUGCGUAACGCGUAUACAAUUUGCCUUGUACUGGAGGAUAGCCCGGAGAAAUCCGGAUUAAUACUCCAUAAUAUUAUGAAUUCGCAUGUUUUUAUAAUUAAAGCUUCGGUGGUACAAGAUGAGUAUGCGUCCUAUUAGUUAGUUGGUAAGGUAACGGCUUACCAAGACAACGAUAGGUAGGGGGCCUGAGAGGGUUAUCCCCCACACUGGUACUGAGACACGGACCAGACUCCUACGGGAGGCAGCAGUGAGGAAUAUUGGACAAUGGAGGCAACUCUGAUCCAGCCAUGCCGCGUGAAGGAAGACUGCCCUAUGGGUUGUAAACUUCUUUUAUAGAGGAAGAAACGUGAAUACGUGUAUUCAUUUGACGGUACUCUACGAAUAAGGAUCGGCUAACUCCGUGCCAGCAGCCGCGGUAAUGCGGA